rnacentral:rRNA from 1 species
ACGUGGAUAACCUACCUAUAAGACUGGGAUAACUUCGGGAAACCGGAGCUAAUACCGGAUAAUAUUUUGAACCGCAUGGUUCAAAAGUGAAAGACGGUCUUGCUGUCACUUAUAGAUGGAUCCGCGCUGCAUUAGCUAGUUGGUAAGGUAACGGCUUACCAAGGCAACGAUGCAUAGCCGACCUGAGAGGGUGAUCGGCCACACUGGAACUGAGACACGGUCCAGACUCCUACGGGAGGCAGCAGUAGGGAAUCUUCCGCAAUGGGCGAAAGCCUGACGGAGCAACGCCGCGUGAGUGAUGAAGGUCUUCGGAUCGUAAAACUCUGUUAUUAGGGAAGAACAUAUGUGUAAGUAACUGUGCACAUCUUGACGGUACCUAAUCAGAAAGCCACGGCUAACUACGUGCCAGCAGCCGCGGUAAUACGUAGGUGGCAAGCGUUAUCCGGAAUUAUUGGGCGUAAAGCGCGCGUAGGCGGUUUUUUAAGUCUGAUGUGAAAGCCCACGGCUCAACCGUGGAGGGUCAUUGGAAACUGGAAAACUUGAGUGCAGAAGAGGAAAGUGGAAUUCCAUGUGUAGCGGUGAAAUGCGCAGAGAUAUGGAGGAACACCAGUGGCGAAGGCGACUUUCUGGUCUGUAACUGACGCUGAUGUGCGAAAGCGUGGGGAUCAAACAGGAUUAGAUACCCUGGUAGUCCACGCCGUAAACGAUGAGUGCUAAGUGUUAGGGGGUUUCCGCCCCUUAGUGCUGCAGCUAACGCAUUAAGCACUCCGCCUGGGGAGUACGACCGCAAGGUUGAAACUCAAAGGAAUUGACGGGGACCCGCACAAGCGGUGGAGCAUGUGGUUUAAUUCGAAGCAACGCGAAGAACCUUACCAAAUCUUGACAUCCUUUGACAACUCUAGAGAUAGAGCCUUCCCCUUCGGGGGACAAAGUGACAGGUGGUGCAUGGUUGUCGUCAGCUCGUGUCGUGAGAUGUUGGGUUAAGUCCCGCAACGAGCGCAACCCUUAAGCUUAGUUGCCAUCAUUAAGUUGGGCACUCUAAGUUGACUGCCGGUGACAAACCGGAGGAAGGUGGGGAUGACGUCAAAUCAUCAUGCCCCUUAUGAUUUGGGCUACACACGUGCUACAAUGGACAAUACAAAGGGCAGCGAAACCGCGAGGUCAAGCAAAUCCCAUAAAGUUGUUCUCAGUUCGGAUUGUAGUCUGCAACUCGACUACAUGAAGCUGGAAUCGCUAGUAAUCGUAGAUCAGCAUGCUACGGUGAAUACGUUCCCGGGUCUUGUACACACCGCCCGUCACACCACGAGAGUUUGUAACACCCGAAGCCGGUGGAGUAACCUUUUAGGAGCUAGCCGUCGAAGGUGGGACAAAUGAUUGGGGUGAAGUCGUAACAAGGUAGCCGUAUCGGAAGGUGCGGCUGGAUCACCUCCUUUCUA